rnacentral:lncRNA from 1 species
UCAAAUUUUACAUCUUGUAUUCGAAUACACAUCAGUGUAGUCGAAUACAGAUCAAUGUAUUUUAGCCUCUGACUUAACUUGUAUUCGACUACAUAUGAGUGUAGUCGAAUACAUUUGGCUACUGACUUAGCAUGUAGUCGACUACAGAUGGGUGUAGUCGAAUACACUUGGCCACUGACUUAGCUUGUAGUCGACUACAGAUGCGUGUAGUCGAAUACACCAUUUAAAGUUUUGCUUCUGACUUAAGUUGUAUUCGAAUACAACAUGGUGUAUUCGAAUACACUUAUGCAAAUUGUCAAAAAUAUGAUUUUAAAUGAUUUGUUAAUGUUGUUUUUGAUUUUUGAAAACAUGUUAAAUGCAUAUGUAAAUAUGAAUUGUUCUCAAGUAUUUGAACUAUUGAUUUGUAUCAUAUACCUUUAUAUUUAC